rnacentral:rRNA from 1 species
GAUGAACGCUGGCGGCGUGCCUAAUACAUGCAAGUCGAGCGAACGGACGCGAAGCUUGCUUCUCUGAUGUUAGCGGCGGACGGGUGAGUAACACGUGGAUAACCUACCUCUAAGACUGGGAUAACUUCGGGAAACCGGAGCUAAUCCCGGAUAAUAUUUUGAACCGCAUGGUUCAAAAGUGAAAGACGGUCUUGCUGUCACUUAUAGAUGUAUCCGCGCUGCAUUAGCUAGUUGGUAAGGUAACGGCUUACCAAGGCAACGAUGCAUAGCCGACCUGAGAGGGUGAUCGGCCACACUGGAACUGAGACACGGUCCAGACUCCUACGGGAGGCAGCAGUAGGGAAUCUUCCGCAAUGGGCGAAAGCCUGACGGAGCAACGCCGCGUGAGUGAUGAAGGUCUUCGGAUCGUAAAACUCUGUUAUUAGGGAAGAACAUAUGUGUAAGUAACUGUGCACAUCUUGACGGUACCUAAUCAGAAAGCCACGGCUAACUACGUG